UUUCCUCUAUUUAUUAUUCUACAGCAUGAAAGUAUCAAAGUACAAAAUAAAACAUCUCAGAAGAUAAAUAUUAUUUCUGAUGGAUAUCAACAUUUCUUUUGCAAAAAGACCUUUUAAGUUAUAAGUUUUUUAAGUGUAUAGCACACUACACACUGGAGGACUUAAAGACCUGCAUUCCUAUUCCCAACGCAGGCAUCAAAACUGCCAACAACCAGACAUUUACCAAAAUUAACUUCUUAUGAAAAGGCAAAAUAUCAAUAUCAAUUGAGAGUCAAACUUCAUCCUCUUGGGAGCAGUUUCUAAGAGAAGGGUUUUUCAAUUUAUACAGCUCCAUUCUUC
rnacentral:lncRNA from 1 species